rnacentral:rRNA from 1 species
UACGUAGGGUGCGAGCGUUAAUCGGAAUUACUGGGCGUAAAGCGUGCGCAGGCGGUUUUGUAAGCCAGAUGUGAAAUCCCCGGGUUUAACCUGGGAAUGGCAUUUGGGACUGCAAGGCUUGAGUGCGGCAGAGGAGACUGGAAUUCCUGGUGUAGCAGUGAAAUGCGUAGAUAUCAGGAGGAACACCGAGUGGCGAAGGCAGGUCUCUGGGCUGACACUGACGCUCAUGCACGAAAGGCGUGGGGAGCAAACAGG